rnacentral:misc_RNA from 1 species
UGGUUCUGGCAUCGAUGAAGAACGCAGCGAAAUGCGAUAAGUAGUGUGAAUUGCAGAAUUCAGUGAAUCAUCGAAUCUUUGAACGCACAUUGCGCCCGUCGGUAUUCCGGCGGGCAUGCCUGUUCGAGCGUCAUUUCAUACCUUCAGGGCUAGUUCCUGGUGUUGGACCCACGCCCUCAGGGGCGGGUCCCAAAGAUGACCGGCGACCACGCACGCUCCGCCCUCUUGGAGGCGCUGCUGGAACCAUCCGCGUCCCUCAGGGGUCGGAUCGUCCGUGGGCGUACGGGGGACCACCACAGUCUCACUCGAGACUCUCAUCUUGACCUCGGAUCAGGUAGGGUUACCCGCUGA